CCCUUAGAUGUUCUGGGCCGCACGCGCGCUACACUGAUGCAUUCAACGAGUUUCUUCCUGGUCCGAGAGGAAUGGGUAACCUUUUGAAAGUGCAUCUUGAUAGGGAUAGACUAUUGCAAUUAUUGGUCUUCAACGAGGAAUUCCUAGUAGACGUAGUUCAUCAGACUGCAUCGAUUACGUCCCUGCCCUUUGUACACACCGCCCGUCGCUCCUACCGAUUGAAUGCUCAGGUGAGCCAUUCGGACUUUCAUCAUGCUGGUUUCCAGUUUUGAUGAAGGAAAGUCUUGCGAACCUUAUCAUUUAGAGGAAGGAGAAGUCGUAACA
rnacentral:rRNA from 1 species